rnacentral:lncRNA from 1 species
UUAGGAUUUGAUUUAAGAUUAGGUUUUGGUUAGAGUUUGAUUUAGGAUUAGGAUUUGAUUAGGAUUUGGUUUAGGAUUUAGGAUUUAAUUUAAGAUUUAAGGUUUGAUUAGGAUUUGGUUUAGAAUUUAGGAUUUGAUUAGAAUUUGAUUUAGGAUUAGGAUUUGGUUAAGAUUUAGUUUAGGAUUUAGGAUUUGGUUAAGAUUUGAUUUAAGAUUUAGGAUUUUAUUUAGGAUUUAGAAUUUGGUUAGGGUUUGAUUUUAGAUUUAGGAUUUGAUUAGGAUUUGGUUUAGAAUUUAAGAUUUUAUUAGGAUUUAUUUAGAAUUUAAGAUUUAAUUAGAUUUUGGUCGAAAGUUUGAAUGAAGUCCAAUAUGAUUUUAACUAGAAUUAAAUUAAGAUUGAAUUGAGAUGUAUUUGAGAUAUAUUUGUGAUCAUUCUAAUAUUUCUUUAAGAUUUCUUAUUGUUUCUUUGAAAUUCCUUUGAGGUUUCUUUGAAUUUGAUUAAAGCUUGCUUAGCAUUGUUAUAGUCUAAUUAGAGUUUAGUUAGUAUUCUAUUAGACUUAAGAUUUUGUUGUUGCAAUUUCCAUUCUACCUUCUAUAGCUAGGUGCUCGAAGCAUUCUCAAGCAAGACUUCACGUAUUACGACAACGCUCCUUUUAAUUGCACCUUUAUUGUU